rnacentral:misc_RNA from 2 species
CAACCCCUCAGGCCCUGCCUGGCGUUGGGGCUCUGCCGUUCCCGGCAGGCCCUCAAAGACAGUGGCGGGUGCGCCGCGAGUACCGAACGCAGUAAUUAUGCCUCGUUCUGGGAUCGCAGCGUUCUCCGGCCGUUAAAACCCCCUAUUUUUUACU